rnacentral:rRNA from 1 species
GAUGAACGCUGGCGGCGUGCCUAAUACAUGCAAGUCGAACGAACAGUCGAGGUGCUUGCGCCUUUGAGGUUAGCGGCGGACGGGAGAUUAACAUGUGGAUAACCUACCUAUAAGAAUGGGAUAACUACGGCAAACCGGAGCUAAUACCGGAUAACUUAUUGCACCUGAUGGUUCACGAGUUGAAGACGGUCGUGCUGGAAGUUAUAGAUGGGUCCGCGUGGGAUUAGCGAGUGGGCAAGGAAACGGCUUACCAACGCGACGAGCCAUAGCCGGCCAGAGAGGAAGAGCAGCCACACCGGGAGGGAGACACGGCCGAGACUCCUACGGGAAGGAGCAGUGGGAAAUAGUGGACAAGGGGCGAGAGUCAGAGAGAGCUAUGGCGCGUAAGUAAUGAAGGCAUGAGGAGUGAAAAUCUCUUUUACCCGAGAAGAUAAUGACGGUACCUGAAGAAUAAGCCCCGGCUAACUCCGUG